GCCUAGUUAGCUAAGUUGAUAGAGCGUCUGCCUUGUAAGCGCUAGGCCGCGGGUUCGAUUCCCGCCCGGGGCG
rnacentral:tRNA from 1 species